rnacentral:rRNA from 1 species
AGUGAACGCUGGCGGUAGGCCUAACACAUGCAAGUCGAACGGCAGCACAGGAGAGCUUGCUCUCUGGGUGGCGAGUGGCGGACGGGUGAGGAAUACAUCGGAAUCUACUUUUUCGUGGGGGAUAACGUAGGGAAACUUACGCUAAUACCGCAUACGACCUACGGGUGAAAGCAGGGGAUCUUCGGACCUUGCGCGAUUGAAUGAGCCGAUGGCGGAUUAGCUAGUUGGCGGGGUAAAGGCCCACCAAGGCGACGAUCCGUAGCUGGUCUGAGAGGAUGAUCAGCCACACUGGAACUGAGACACGGUCCAGACUCCUACGGGAGGCAGCAGUGGGGAAUAUUGGACAAUGGGCGCAAGCCUGAUCCAGCCAUACCGCGUGGGUGAGGAAGGCCUUCGGGUUGUAAAGCCCUUUUGUUGGGAAAGAAAUCCAGCUGGUUAAUACGAUCUGCUCAUGACGGUACCUGAAGAAGAAGCACCGGCUAACUACGUGCCAGCAGCCGCCGCAG